CCUCUGUCUGGGGAUCCAAGGAAAUGCCCAGGCAGGGCUGGAGUGAGCACAAGGGCACGCCAGGCCCUGAUAAUCGGGCCCUGCAAUCGUUCAGGGCUUGCUUGUGAUGGAUCACAGUCGCUGUCAACCACACUCUGCGGUCUUGGGUGUGGGAGGUGGGAAGAAACAGCUGCAUGCAGGAGGCAGGGCAGAGCAGACAGGAUGGUGGCUGAGGAGGAGAGCCCUUGGAGUGCCCCUGCACCUGGUGGCAGAGCUUAUGCUGAGCACAGAAAAGGGACAAUUGGUCAGCCACAGCUGCUGCUGUUCCCCCGGGAUGCUCCGUGCUGGCCCAUCCUCCUCCUGCAGCCCCAUUUCACCCAGCAUAUCCACCAAAAAAGAAGGACACAUCCUCUGGGAUUGUCUGUGUGCUGGAGACCAUUACUGCAUCGGUGUCACAAAAGUCCCUGGCUGCUCCUGGCCUGGCACAAUUAAUCAAGUGGCGCCGCUCAGGCCCGUGUUUAACGAGGCUGGCCCUGCCAUCUUUUCCCAAGAAGGAGCCCAGGCACUGCAUGGAAAAGGCCACCUAUUUCUCCAGGUGGUGUUCUGGAGCUCCUGCCUUCUGCUGUGGGAUGGGCUGAGAGCUGAGCUGAAGAGCCAGAGCAGAAGUUUGUGAUGGUCCCUCUUGACUUGGCCCAGAUUCAUCCCUUUUUUUGGAAGAGAGCAGCCCUCGCCUUUUCCAGGCUGUGCCGCUGUCUUGGCACACGUAGCCGGUCCUGGAGCACCACAGGAAGAGUGGAGGAGCAGGAGCUGCUUGGGUUUAUGAGCUAUCAGGAGCACAUUUCUCAGAAAUACAGUGACCUAAUCUCACUCCUAUUGAUUUUGAGCUAUAUUUGUACACACACACGGGGACAGACAAGCCCUGCUGAAAAUACAAAAUCCUGUACUCCUGGAAGGGCAAAAAGUGUUUCCUCCUGGUUUGUUUUCAAGCCUAAGGAAAAAAAGGGAGCAGGCAGAGAGCCUGACCCAGUUUCUGGUGGGUCUGUGAGAUGGUUCCCCAUUCCCAGCCCCUGCCAGCACUCAGGAAUAUGGUCCAGGCUGUAUUUUAAGGAGAUGCUCCUUCCCAAUCCCAGCUGCCCAAAAGCAUCAUUUUCUGUUAUUACUGCCACCCUCCCUGGAAUAUGCAAAGUGGGAAGAGAAAAAGCCCCAGAAAAUUAGGCAGAGUGGUUUAUCUGACAGGCCAGCGCUCUCCCAGAUAAAGGAACAAACAGAGUUUGUCUCCUGGUCAGGGUGACACUUUGCCACAAAAGAAGAGCAGGGAGAAGUUAAUUAAACUGUGAAGAAGCCAUUUAUUAGGAAAGGGAAAGUAAGACAUGGCUUUUCUUCAAUACUGCAGAAAGGUUCAUUAUAGAGGAAAGUCAUCCUUUAGCAGUUAAUAAACUAUUUUCUCCCACCUGGCUUUGAGGGAUG
rnacentral:lncRNA from 1 species